rnacentral:pre_miRNA from 1 species
UUGGGGUGAGGUAGUAGGUUGUAUAGUUUUGGGGUUAUGCCCUGCCUAUCAGAUAACUAUACAAUCUACUGUCUUUCCUGA